rnacentral:rRNA from 1 species
AGAGUUUGAUCCUGGCUCAGAUUGAACGCUGGCGGCAUGCCUUACACAUGCAAGUCGAACGGCAGCACGGAGCUUGCUCUGGUGGCGAGUGGCGAACGGGUGAGUAAUAUAUCGGAACGUACCCUAGAGUGGGGGAUAACGUAGCGAAAGUUACGCUAAUACCGCAUACGAUCUAAGGAUGAAAGUGGGGGAUCGCAAGACCUCAUGCUCGUGGAGCGGCCGAUAUCUGAUUAGCUAGUUGGUAGGGUAAAGGCCUACCAAGGCAUCGAUCAGUAGCUGGUCUGAGAGGACGACCAGCCACACUGGAACUGAGACACGGUCCAGACUCCUACGGGAGGCAGCAGUGGGGAAUUUUGGACAAUGGGCGAAAGCCUGAUCCAGCAAUGCCGCGUGAGUGAAGAAGGCCUUCGGGUUGUAAAGCUCUUUUGUCAGGGAAGAAACGGUGAGAGCUAAUAUCUCUUGCUAAUGACGGUACCUGAAGAAUAAGCACCGGCUAACUACGUGCCAG